rnacentral:rRNA from 1 species
UACGUAGGGGGCUAGCGUUGUCCGGAUUUAUUGGGCGUAAAGAGCGUGUAGGCGGCCAGGUAGGUCUGCUGUGAAAACUCGAGGCUCAACCUCCAGCGGUCGUUGGAAACUACUCGGCUAGAGUCCGGAAGAGGAGAGUGGAAUUCCUGGUGUAGCGGUGAAAUGCGCAGAUAUCAGGAAGAACACCGAUGGCGAAAGCAGCUCUCUGGGACGGUACUGACGCUGAGGCGCGAAAGCGUGGGGAGCGAACAGG